rnacentral:rRNA from 1 species
UUACAAACGGUCGGAGGCCUAUGUAUCGACAGGCGAAGAAGGACGCGUUAACCUGCGAAAAGUUUCGGUGAGCCGGAAAAAGGCAUUGACCCGGAAGUAUCCGAAUGGGGGAACCCACUGGGAGUAAAAUCUCAGUAUUUUACACUGAAUACAUAGGUGUAAAAAGCGAGACCCACUGAAGUGAAACAUCUCAGUAAGUGGAGGAAAAGACAUCAAACGAGAUUCCCUGAGUAGCGGCGAGCGAAACGGGAAGAACCUAAACCAGAGGAUUUAUUCUCUGGGGUUGCAGGGCUAGUCAUAGUAAUCAGGAAUUUUUAGUUGAAUCCUCUGGGAAGAGGAACGACACAGGGUGAUAGUCCCGUAGACGAAAAGAAGACCUGGUGAGAUUAGUACCUAAGUAGGGCCGGACACGUGAAACCCGGUCUGAAUCAGGGGGGACCGCCCUCCAAGGUUAAAUACUCGUCGAUAACCGAUAGUGAACCAGUACUGCGAAGGAAAGGCGAAAAGAACCUCUGUUAGAGGAGUGAAAUAGAACCUGAAACCAGCAGCUUACAAACGGUCGGAGGCCUAUGCCCUUUUUAAGGGAAUGGCUGACGGCGUGCCUUUUGCAUGAUGAGCCAGCGAGUUAGGUUUUAUGGCAAGGCUAAGUGACAUACGUCAUGGAGUCGUAGCGAAAGCGAGCGUGAAUAGCGCGAAUAAGUCAUAAGGUCUAGACACGAAACUAAGUGAUCUAUCCAUGGCCAGGUUGAAGCUGAGGUAAAACUCCGUGGAGGACCGAACCAGUAACUGUUGAAAAAGUUUUGGAUGAGCUGUGGAUAGGGGUGAAAGGCCAAUCAAACUUAGAGAUAUCUUGUUCUCUUCGAAAUAACUUUAGGGUUAGUCUCGGCACCAUCUUUAUGGGGGUAGAGCACUGAAUCUCCGCGGGGGCCUACCGGCCUACCAACGGGAAUCAAACUCCGAAUACUAUAAAGACAGCCGGGAAAUAGACAGUGGGGGAUAAGCUUCAUUGUCAAAAGGGGAACAGCCCAGACCGUCGAUUAAGGCCCCAAAUUCUAGCUUAAGUGAGAAAGGAAGUGGAGUUUCAAAAACAAUUGGGAUGUUGGCUUAGAGGCAGCCAUCAUUUAAAGAGUGCGUAACAGCUCACCAAUCGAGAGACUCUGCGCCGAUAAUAUCCGGGACUCAAAGCUAGAGCCGAAAUCACGGGUUUUCCCGUAAAAAGGAAAGCGGUAGGAGAGCGUAGUAUAUGCGACGAAGGUAUACCGAGAGGAGUGCUGGAGCGUAUACUAGUGAAGAUGCAUGGCAUAAGUAAACGAUAAAGGAGGUGAAAAUCCUCCUCGCCGAAAACCUAAGGUUUCCAGGGUAAAGUUCGUCUUCCCUGGGUUAGCCGGCCCCUAAGUCCAGGUGGAAACACGUAGGCGAUGGGAAACAGGUUAAAUAUUCCUGUGCUGCCUAAGAUAAUGGUGAAGAGGUGACAGAGUAAGUUAAGUGCGCGGACUAUUGGAUGUCCGUUUUGCUUUGAGGUAGGCUAGUAGGUAAGUCCGCUAGCAGGAUACCAGGAAGUAAACAAGGGGAACGCAAGGGAACCGAUGGCAUGGCGCGAUGCUUUCAAGAAACAACCACUAACCAUCGAUGGCAACCGUACCAAAACCGACACAGGUGGGUGGGAAGAAUAUUCUCAGGCGCGCGAGAGAACUCACGUUAAGGAACUCUGCAAAUUAGCCUCGUAACUUCGGGAGAAGAGGCACUUUUUUUCGUAAGAGUGAACAACUCAAGCGAAGAGAAGUCGCAGUGAAAAGGCCCAGGCGACUGUUUAACAAAAACACAGCACUCUGCUAAUUCGUCUAAGAAGACGUAUAGGGUGUGAUACCUGCCCAAUGCCGAAAGGUCAAAAGGAGAUGUAAGCAUGAAAGUGCGAAGCGUUGAAUUAAAGCCCCGGUGAAUGGCGGCCGUAACUAUAACGGUCCUAAGGUAGCGAAAUUCCUUGUCGGGUAAGUUCCGACCUGCACGAAUGGUGUAACGAUCUGGGCGCUGUCUCAACGAGAGACUCGGUGAAAUUGUAGUAGCAGUGGAGAUGCUGUUUACCCGCAAUAAGACGGAAAGACCCCGUGAACCUAGAAAAGAAGAUUGGAUGCAGAACAAAUGGAGACCGGCCAUGGGUUGGUUGUACAUGGGCAUCUGUGCUUUUGACUUCGUGAUAUUCCCCAUACUUUGGAACUUGGCCCAGGCCACUUAUUUGAAGAAUAUCGUAUUCACUCAGUGGAGCCCCUUGACAUUGCAGGGUGCUGGUUUCUUCCACAUCGCGAUGGGAGCAGUGUUGGGAUUAUCUGCAUAUGGCAGAUCGCAAGAAAAAAUCGCUUCCACUUCUAAUGGUAAUGUCAAACCGGCCAAGACCGAAGACCCGGCCCUGUAAUUACCAAAGCAUUGACAGAUACUAGAUCUAUAGUAAACUUAUAUCAAUGAAGAAUUUUUAUGACACCCUAGGUGUGGCCGAAACUGCUUCUGAGAAAGAGAUCAAGGACGCCUUCAAAAGCCUUGCCAAGAAACAUCAU